UCUUGGGACGUUAGGUUGGGGGCCGGUGUUCUCUGAGGAUGAAGCCGCCUCAGAGGAUGCUGGUGCUGAGCUGAGGAAGCGGAAUCAGAUCCAGAACCGAAUUUUGCGGGACCAAGGAGCAGCGUGCAAGGCCCAGAGGAUGAAUUCUGUUUGGUCUAAGCCAGCAUGGGAAUCCUGUCUCCUUUUGACCUAGUCUUGGGGCAACCUGGGCAAUAGAGCAUGGGGAAAGUGACCGCACCGGUUACGAUAUUUUCAACUGCAAGUGACAGCAUGCCUGACUGACCGUGGCUUAAGCGAAGAAGAAGUGGAAUUAUCCUUUAUAACAAACAGUCUGGAGGUCGGCAGCUCCAAAGUCGUUUUGAUGUGUCAAGGACCCAGGCUUAUCUUUCUGCUACGUCAUCUCCAGUGGUUGGCUUUUGGCCUCAGACUCAUGCCCAUCCCAGCUACUGCUGCAUCAUAGAACGUUUGAUCACAGGACACCGAUCAAAGCAGGAAGGAAGGGAUGGGGGGACAAAAGGCUUUCACCCCCUUGAAGCUCUAUAUUAUUAAUGAAGUGGAUCCUCAGAUUUC